rnacentral:lncRNA from 1 species
AAUCUCUCCCAAAUCUCUCUUUGUAUGAGAAAUCUCUCCAAGAAUGUCAAAUCUCUCCCAAAUCUCUCUAAGUAUGUGAAAUCUCUCCCAAAUCUCUUUUUGUAUGAGAAAUCUCUCCAAGAAUGUCAAAUCUCUCCCAAAACUCUCUAAGAAUGUGAAAUCUCUCCCAAAUAUCUCUUUGUAUGUGAAAUCUCUCCAAGAAUGUCAAAUCUCUCCCAAAUCUCUCUAAGUAUGUGAAAUCUCCCCAAAUCUCUCUUUGUAUGAGAAAUCUCUCCAUUUCUACAUUUGGUAAGAAUAAUCCCUUAUCUUUAUGAUUAUUUCACUUAUUUCUACUCAAAUCAUGGAUAUCUUACACAAACUCUCUCAUAAUUGUGUUAGAUCUUCGAAUCUUCAAGUGAUUCUUCAAGUGUUCUUGGGUUGAACACUUCUCUUCUUCAACACUUACCUACUGAAAUCACUCAAGGUGAGUUCAUACCCCUACAUUUUCAUGUUUUCUCAAGUUUUUAGGGGGGGAAUACAAGUUAAAACACCAAGAACAUAACUAAACUUUUCUAACAGCCUUCAUCAGAAAAGUUCAACUCCAUUCACGGACUGUUUUGGACAACUUAAACAUUUUAGUUUUCAAAACUGUUUUAGGUGCAUGUAGUUCCACUUCUUAGCUUUAAAAUGACUACUUGCACAUCUCCAUACGAUUUUUCUACAAUUUAUGGUGAAUUUUACAAAACUGCCUAUCAUUUCAAACACCAAUCCGGACCAGUCUGUGAUUAUGGACCUUUUCACCCAAGUUAGAGAUCAUUAAAAAUCAUGAUAAAAAUUAUGAGUAAACUAGACACAUCUUGGGAACUCUCAGAAGUUACGGAUUUAGUUUUCGACUUCGUAGNAACCUCGGCCUAGGACCGAGAGGCCUCGCUGGGAAGCCUUUUUCUCCGGGUUUUCGAUUAAAUUUGCGUUUUAAGCCCGUUUUUCAUUGUUUUAGCACGGGAUUUUCACCCAAAACUUUAUUUUAACAUAUAAGGCCCCUAAACUAUUAAUUAAUCACGUUUUUAAGGAUAAAACCUUAUCCAAAGGGGAGUAGGUGAAGUACAAAGAUGGAGUGUUGACUUUCCUUUAUUUUAUGACACAAGCAACCUCCAUCACCCACUCCAUGUCACUAUUCCCCAUCAGCCCCUACCUAGUCAUUUCAUUGUACUUUUCCCACCUUUUUCCAACCCCACAAUUGGUCAAAGGCUAGAAAAGCCUCCUCUCUCCUCAUUUCUCUCAUUUUCUCUCUUUUCACCAAAAAGAGCAAACUCUUUUCUCUCUCAUUUUCCCUCUCUAGAACUCGAGAUUUGAGGGCUGAUCUUGGGAUUUUCCUCCACAUUUGGUAAGAAUAAUCCCUUAUAUUUAUGAUUAUUUCACUUAUUUCUACUCAAAUCAUGGAUAUCUUACACAAACUCUCUCAUAAUUGUGUUAGAUCUUCGAAUCUUCAAGUGAUUCUUCAAGUGUUCUUGGGUUGAACACUUCUCUUCUUCAACACUUACCUACUGAAAUCACUCAAGGUGAGUUCAUACCCCCACAUUUUCAUGUUUUCUCAAGUUUUUAGGGGGGGAAUACAAGUUAAAACACCAAGAACAUAACUAAACUUUUCUAACAGCCUUCAUCAGAAAAGUUCAACUCCAUUCACGGACUGUUUUGGACAACUUAAACAUUUUAGUUUUC